GACUGCAGUUCAGAGGUGUGCUCAUUUAAACUGAACUGAAAAUGUAUAUGGAUUUGUUAAAUCCAACUUAAAGUCCAUAACAUGAAUUCAUUCAUCUUGCAUGUAUGCAAUCAUUUAUCCAACCAGCCAACCCAGUCGUCUCACCAACAGCAAAGACCUGCACAAAGGUUCUCAUUUACUGCAAC